rnacentral:lncRNA from 1 species
AUGCUGUAUGGUCAGACAGUCCUGUGCACAAAGGGAGAAAUCGUCCUGGGGAUGCUUGCAUGUGUCUGCGAUUGCUCUGCACUGAAGGGAAGAGGCGUGGAGUCCAGGCUGACUAACACAUUCCAGAAACUUUCAGUCUCGGUGAGAAAUGUCGGAGUCAAGGACCUUCCCUGCACAGCGCUAACAGAGGCAGCUCUGUGGGUCCUUUUAGGUCAGGCUCAGUCCACUUCCAGGGCCACGUGGCGCCCGAGAAGCUAUCACUGCAAGUCCCUGCUGGUCCCUCUAGCAGCUAAGGACUCAGGCUUCCUCCUGAUGUCUGUGCCAGCCCCUGGGUCCUGGAUGUGCAUGUGCUCUUUAUUUUUUAAAAAGUGGUAAAAUACAUGUAAGUAAAUGUACCCUCUUACCCAAUUCAGUGGCGUCCAGCAGGUACACAGGCCCCAGUCCCCAUGAUCUCACUUGGGAACGUUCUCACCUCCAAAACAGGAGCUGCACCCGUCAGACAUUAACUCCCUACUACCCCUCUGCACCAGCCUACCUGCUGUCUCUACGAGCCUCAUUUCUCUGCACACCUCAUAUAAGAUGCAUGCGUGGCAUUAGGUUCUCCAGGUUCAUUCAUUUUGUAGCCUGUCAAAAUUUCCUUCCUUUCUUGUGCGUGGGAGAUGAAGGUGGGGUUGAACUAGAGACCUUCACACUGAGCUACAUCCCAGCCAUUUUAAUUUUUGAGCGAGGGUCUUGUUAUGUUGCCCAGAUGGGGUUGAACUUGGGACCUUCCUGCUUCAGCCUCCUAGAGUCCUGGGGUUACAGGCAUGUGCUAACACAGCCAGCUAUUUCCUUCCUUCUUUAAGGCUGAAUACUGUUCUUUUGUAUGUCCAUAAGCCAUACAUACUUAAGCUUUUUGUUGUAAACAUAAUAAAAUAGCUGUCUUCAGCCUAGUGAGAGGUCCUGGAUUCCACAUUCAUUUUCAGUGAAGACAAACUCGUAGGGCUGUGAGAAAGCUCACAGCAAACAGA